AUUGAACGCUGGCGGCAGGCCUAACACCUGCAAGUCGAGCGAGCGGCGGACGGGUGAGUCAUGUCUGGGAAACUGCAUGAUGGAGGGGGAUAACUACUGGAAAAGGUAGCUAAUACCGCAUACGAUCAGAUGUGCCCAGAUGGGAUUAGCUAGUAGGUGGGGUAACGGCUCACUGAGGCGACGACCCCUAGCUGGUCUGAGAGGAGGACCAGCCACACUGGAACUGAGACACGGUCCAGCCUCCUACGGGAGGCAGCGGUGGGGAAUAUUGCACAAUGGGCGGAAGCCUGAUGCAGCCAUGCCGCGUGGGUGAAGAAGGCCUUCGGGGUGUAAAGCACUUGCAGCGGGGAGGCGUUACCCGCAGAAGAAGCACCGGCUAACUCCGUGCCAGCCGCCGCGGUAAUAC
rnacentral:rRNA from 1 species